rnacentral:lncRNA from 10 species
GCACUGCUUAUUUCCCGCUGUCAGGAUGAGGAGGCGGAGGUCGGCGGUCGGGUCCGUCUCUGCCCGCGGCUGUGGCGGCGCCGGCGGAUCCAGCCUUAGCGGUUUCUCUCUGGGCGGCGGCGGCGGCGGCUCGGUUGACGCCUCCUCCGCCAGCUGAGCCCGCGGGAGCCCAGGACGCCGCUUCCCCGCCCAUCCCCGCUCCCCGAGGCCGGCCGCCUGGUCAUGGCGCAGCCGGGCCCGGCUUCCCAGCCUGACGGAGAAGGGAAGGGAAGCAUUUUUGGUGGGCUGUCAGAGAGAGGAAACUGGGAUGUCUUCAGGCUGCAUUUUAAUGAUCACCUUUUGCAUUUGGUGUCAGGCAAGAAAACUUUGUUCUUCCACAAUCCCACUUUGUUACUGCACACAGAGGCAAGAUACAGAGAGCUUGUGGUUCUGAACAGGAGUGUUUCUCUUCAGCAACGGGUAGCAGAAUUGGAAAAAAUUAAUGCAGAAUUUUUACGUGCACAACAGCAGCUUGAACAAGAAUUUAAUCAAAAGAGAGCAAAAUUUAAGGA